rnacentral:tRNA from 1 species
GUCACCAUAGCUCAGUUGGUAGAGCAUUCGGCUAGACAGCGAAAGGCCCACAGUUCAAGUCUCGGUGGGGGCA